rnacentral:rRNA from 1 species
AUUGAACGCUGGCGGCAGGCCUAACACAUGCAAGUCGAGCGGAUGACGGGAGCUUGCUCCUUGAUUCAGCGGCGGACGGGUGAGUAAUGCCUAGGAAUCUGCCUGGUAGUGGGGGACAACGUUUCGAAAGGAACGCUAAUACCGCAUACGUCCUACGGGAGAAAGCAGGGGACCUUCGGGCCUUGCGCUAUCAGAUGAGCCUAGGUCGGAUUAGCUUGUUGGUGAGGUAAUGGCUCACCAAGGCGACGAUCCGUAACUGGUCUGAGAGGAUGAUCAGUCACCUGGGAAGUGGACACCGGUCCAGCACCCUAGGGGGGGGAGCGGGGGGGAAUUUGGAACAAUGGGCGAAAGCCUGAUCCAGCCAGUCCGGGGGGGGGAAGAAGGGCUUCGGUUUGUAAACCCUUUUAAGUUGGGAGGAAGGGUUGUAAAUUAAUACUCGGCAAUUUGGCCUUUACCGAAAGAAAAAGCACCGGCAAACCUUGG